rnacentral:rRNA from 1 species
AUAUCAAUAAGCGGAGGAAAAGAAACUAACAAGGAUUCCCUUAGUAGCGGCGAGCGAAGCGGGAAGAGCUCAAAUUUGAAAGCUGGCGUCCUUCGGGCGUCCGCAUUGUAAUCUAUAGAGGCGUUUUCUGUGCUGGACCGUGUCCAAGUCCCUUGGAACAGGGUAUCAAAGAGGGUGACAAUCCCGUACUUGACACGACAACCAGUGCUCUGUGAUACGCCUUCUACGAGUCGAGUUGUUUGGGAAUGCAGCUCAAAAUGGGUGGUGAAUUCCAUCUAAAGCUAAAUAUUGGCGAGAGACCGAUAGCGAACAAGUACCGUGAGGGAAAGAUGAAAAGAACUUUGAAAAGAGAGUUAAAAAGUACGUGAAAUUGUUGAAAGGGAACCGUUUGAAGCCAGUGUUGCUUGCCUGUGAUCAAUCUUAGCUUUGGCUUGGAUGCACUCUCAGGCUAUGCAGGUCAACGUCAGUUUUUGAGGUGUGAAAAAAGUUUGAGGAAUGUGGCCUUUGGGUGUUAUAGCCUCUUACUAAAUAGCAUCUCUUGGACUGAGGCUCGCAGCAAAAAUGUGGGUUGGUUUGCUCCUGAGUUGAAGCUUUGUCAAGACAGCUUGCUGACUUGGUUUUGUGGAAGUUCACGGUAGACCGGCUUCUAAUUUGCUUAGGUCGUUGACAUAAUGGCUUUAAAUGA